AACGAACGCUGGCGGCAGGCUUAACACAUGCAAGUCGAGCGCCUCGCAAGGGGGAGCGGCAGACGGGUGAGUAACGCGUGGGAAUGUACCCUUCUCUACGGAAUAACACAGAGAAAUUUGUGCUAAUACCGUAUACGCCCUUCGGGGGAAAGAUUUAUCGGGGAAGGAUCAGCCCGCGUAGGAUUAGCUAGUUGGUGUGGUAAUGGCGCACCAAGGCGACGAUCCUUAGCUGGUCUGAGAGGAUGAUCAGCCACACUGGGACUGAGACACGGCCCAGACUCCUACGGGAGGCAGCAGUGGGGAAUAUUGGACAAUGGGCGCAAGCCUGAUCCAGCCAUGCCGCGUGAGUGAUGAAGGCCUUAGGGUUGUAAAGCUCUUUCACCCACGACGAUAAUGACGGUAGUGGGAGAAGAAGCCCCGGCUAACUUCGUG
rnacentral:rRNA from 1 species